AUUUUCAAAAGUGGGUACGGAAAGAUCCUCACUGUUUAUUCUCUUAACUUAUGUCUCAUUGCUGUGUACAUUCCUCCCGUCUCGCUGUUCACCACCUUCCACGGUUUGUUUGACUGUAUGCUUUAUGACUGAUAUCAAGAAAAUACAGACAUAUGGGUAGUGACGCGGCUCACUAAAGCUCACCCUCGCAGUGCAUCUGAAGUACAGCCACUUCAUCCAGUUGGUCUGUCCUGUAAAUAAAUUAAAGUUAUAUUAUUUUCAUACAAGAGGAAUGUUGUCUGGUGAUUGACACGAGCAGGAUUUUUCCCCUGUAAAGUCUGUUAUUAAGAUCUGAGAUAAACUUGGCUAGUCAGACUGACUACAUAAAUGAAAACACCCUGCUUUGCUGCAGCCAUUUUUCCUGUCUUGGAGUUCUUUUGUUUAAAAGAGCAAACUUUCCAUUUGGAAAUAGGAAUAUUGCUAGAUAUUUAAAUGUCUAGAACAACACGCACUAAACUCCCUAUAGAUGGAUGUUACUUUCUGCCUCUGGGGUCAGAAGAUGCUGCUAAGGUGAAUAUUGUCUCCGUCUACCUCUAGUUUAAAGGUAUCACCUUUGGAUAAGCCUCCAACAGCUCACCUCUAACAGCCUUCUGAAAGAAAACGUGAAAUACCUCCCAGCUAUGUAUUUUUGUCUUUCCCAUCCCACACAAAUUUAAACCUUGUUUGGAAGCUCUGUAGAAGAUGUAAAACAAAACUUCAAAAGGGAGAUCAGGUACACGCUAAUUUAUUGCCCAUUAAUUGUGUUCAGCUGUUAACAAGCUUUCAAAUGAGGAAGAGCUCUACUUGAAGUCAGCCACUUCGUUACGCUUAAUGCAUCAAUUGCUGUCAUUGCCAGAAUUUCUUCAUUUCUUCUGUUUGACUUUGUUUUGGGGUGGUGGUGGUGGUUGUUUUUAGCCAUUGUUACUGCUGUCCUGUUGGCUUUAACGCAGGAAUGCAGGAGCCGAAUGUGUGAUUUACCUCUGAGCCUCCCUUGUCUAAAAACACCCCGAAGGGCCAGCAGUGUGGCUGUGGUGUGCCUCCUCCUUCCUCUCCCAGAACUCAGGCUGGAUCUGCCCCCCUGGUGCUCAGCUUGAGGAUCACCAAAACCCUCAAGGAAAGCUUUCCAGGAUCGUGUCCUCCUAAGAACCAACUUUUAAAAGGUCGCUGUGGCUUUGAAACAUUAACCAGGCAUCUGUCUGCCUCUUUAAACACCUACACACGCAUAAAAAAGCUCACCACAACAGCACGGGUUUGUAGUUCCGUCUGAAAGAAACUAGAAAUGUGUUUUAAUAAUGCAAUCCGCAGCCACCACAUCUGAGGCUAUGGGCAGGCACAACCUGCUCGCGCACGGUCCCAGCCCUGCUGCUGGUGGUUGAACCUGACAGGUCCCGUGUGCUCCUGGCAAGGUGAGCACCAUUGCUUCCUCUCCAUGUCACCGAUGUUUUAUG
rnacentral:lncRNA from 1 species